rnacentral:rRNA from 1 species
AUUGAACGCUGGCGGCAUGCUUUACACAUGCAAGUCGAACGGCAGCGCGGGCUUCGGCCUGGCGGCGAGUGGCGAACGGGUGAGUAGUGCAUCGGAACGUGCCUAGUAGUGGGGGAUAGCCCGGCGAAAGCCGGAUUAAUACCGCAUACGACCUGAGGGUGAAAGCGGGGGACCGAAAGGCCUCGCGCUAUUGGAGCGGCCGAUGUCGGAUUAGCUAGUUGGUGGGGUAAAGGCUUACCAAGGCGACGAUCCGUAGCUGGUCUGAGAGGACGACCAGCCACACUGGGACUGAGACACGGCCCAGACUCCUACGGGAGGCAGCAGUGGGGAAUUUUGGACAAUGGGGGCAACCCUGAUCCAGCCAUGCCGCGUGCGGGAAGAAGGCCUUCGGGUUGUAAACCGCUUUUGUUCGGGAAGAAAUCCUCUGGGCUAAUACCCCGGGGGGAUGACGGUACCGGAAGAAUAAGCACCGGCUAACUACGUG